rnacentral:rRNA from 1 species
UACGUAGGGUGCAAGCGUUGUCCGGAAUUAUUGGGCGUAAAGAGCUCGUAGGCGGUCUGUCGCGUCGGAUGUGAAAAUCCAGGGCUCAACCCUGGACCUGCAUUCGAUACGGGCAGACUAGAGUUCGGCAGGGGAGACUGGAAUUCCUGGUGUAGCGGUGGAAUGCGCAGAUAUCAGGAGGAACACCGAUGGCGAAGGCAGAUCUCUGGGCCGUAACUGACGCUGAGGAGCGAAAGCAUGGGGAGCGAACAGG